UACAGAGGGUGCAAGCGUUGUUCGGAAUUACUGGGCGUAAAGCGCGUGUAGGCGGUUUAAUAAGUCGGACGUGAAAGCCCUCGGCUCAACCGAGGAACUGCGUUCGAAACUGUUAGACUAGAGUAUCGGAGGGGGUGGCGGAAUUCCCGGUGUAGCGGUGAAAUUCGUAGAUAUCGGGAGGAACAUCUGUGGCGAAGGCGGCCACCUGGAAGAUUACUGACGCUGAGCCGCGAAAGCGUGGGGAGCAAACAGG
rnacentral:rRNA from 1 species